rnacentral:tRNA from 3 species
GCGCUUGUAGCUCAGUUGGAUAGAGCACACGCCUUCUAAGCGUGUGGUCGUGAGUUCGAAUCUCGCCAAGCGCGCCA